CGUGUAAGUAACUGUGCACGUCUUGACGGUACCUAAUCAGAAAGCCACGGCUAACUACGUGCCAGCAGCCGCGGUAAUACGUAGGUGGCAAGCGUUAUCCGGAAUUAUUGGGCGUAAAGCGCGCGUAGGCGGUUUCUUAAGUCUGAUGUGAAAGCCCACGGCUCAACCGUGGAGGGUCAUUGGAAACUGGGAGACUUGAGUGCAGAAGAGGAAAGUGGAAUUCCAUGUGUAGCGGUGAAAUGCGCAGAGAUAUGGAGGAACACCAGUGGCGAAGGCGACUU
rnacentral:rRNA from 1 species